rnacentral:sRNA from 1 species
GGCACCAUUCUAGACCACGGGAGGAUAUUCAGGUCAAGCAUUCGUGAAGACGUCUGCGUUUUAAGCUUUACAACUUGUGAUAACCACGACCUGGGCAACCUUUUAUUCGGGAACGUUGAAAACUGGUUCAAACUUUGGCAGAAGCUGCAAGAGAAGUUUGAACGAUCUAGAUUCACCUUUAUAGUGUCCCACCCCCAUGGUUGUCCAAAGCAGGUCAGCUUCGGUCAGUGGGUUCAUAAUUACGUAGUGGACAGAUCCAGUGACCAGAGAGACAUGAGCAAGUUGACCUACACCACAUGUACAUGUCCAGGCAGCAGUGGUGCAGGGGUAUUUUGUGUGGGCUUUGGCGAACAUGUGCAUAGUGGGAGUUUUGACACUAAACUUAAUGUCAGUGGCUUUGGUUUUUCUAACUGGAACUAGUUGGAAAGUUAUUUCUCACUAAUGUACAAAGUCUAUACAACAAGCAAGUCACAUAUUUAACUCAAAGUAAAUGCAUCCCUCUAUUUUUUUAAAUAUCAUUUUAUUGACAUUGCAUUCUUCGUUAAUAGAUUGAUUAAAGAGUUUGUCAGAUAUUUUUUUAAACAUGUACAUAUCCCAUAUAUUUGAUAGACUUUAUAACUGUGUUAUCUUUAAAUUUCUAAAUGAAAUUAUGUUAUUAAACAGAAACAAUUAUAUUUCAUACAAAUAAAACUAUAAAAACAUAUAAUAACUCUCUCUUAAAUAUAUGCACUAUGACGCAAUAAAUCUGAACUCAUAAAGUGUGAGAAUAUGGACGAAAGAAAAAUAGACAACGAAAGAGAAUCAGGGGCGAGAAAGGAAGGAGGUCGGAAGAUAUAAGGACAAAUAUAAAAUAAAAAAUCCUUAAAAAAACAAAAAACGUAUCUAAGUGAAAAAAACUCCGCACAUCACUCAAUAAUGUAGAAAUAUUUCUGUUAAGGGAACAAAACCCUACAAAUGUAGCCAUAGCAGUGAAUACUAUAGGAUUAAUUCCCCUUGUGGGAUCAUACAAAUCAAUCAAUUACCAUUAACUAAUUUACUAAUUGGCUAAAUUUUUGUAUUGAUUCAUGUCUUGCCUAUGCAGUGAAUACAUGUGUAAAGUUUCAACUUGAUCCGAGGAUGAUUGUGGGAGACAGAGCAUGUACAAACUGUUUACCAGAGUGAGUUGAUAUAGGCCUAAGCUUUGUUAGAAGCAUGGAGACAGAAACAAAGUGGGAAAAAUAAUAGGCAAAGAAAUUAAAGAAAAACAGUAAUAGAAAUAUAUCAAAAGUUGAGUUUUAAACCCAACUCUCUAACUUGUCUGGCGCAGUGUUUUUAUUCCUGGAUGUUAAAUGAGUACAGAAAAAAAAGCGCGACUUAACCCUUAAAGUGCUGAGCUGUUUUACAGUGAGUGCAUAAACAAUGGAAUUACAAUUCUGAUGUUUAAAGGCUAAACUACCGCACACGUUUUAAGGGUUAAAGGUUUCGUAAAGUUUGACUCUAAAACUUUUUAACUUUUUAGAAAAAUGCUUUUUUCGUUUAAGACUUAAAACAUUAAGUAAUGUUUAUUAGAGAUUCACAGAUAGUAAUUGGAAAUUUCCAAUUAUUAUCAGAGGUGCUUAAACACUGCAACGCAUGCCGGGAUUGGUCCUACUUUUAAAUCUAGCACCCGGAUGAAUCCGCUGCACAGUGUUAAAUGUGUAUAGUGUGUAUGACAUUCAAUACUUCACAUCACUUUGUAGACAUAUCAAAUCAACGUAUAAACAUAAAGACCUAUAUAAAUGAAGCGUAAAUCUCUACUUAAAGAAGACGGGUUUCGAAAAACAAAGAAGAUGAAAAAGAAAUCGAAAAAGACGACCAAUACCAAUCAUGUCACAGAUAAGAAGUCUGGUCUGUCUCUAAUCAGCACUCUUGGUCUUUUCGGUA